UGGUAAUGCCGGAUGUUCCACAUGAUCGCAUGUGAUUGUGGGAAAGAUUCUAUCGGCGUGGGAUGGGGUCGCGUCCUAUCAGCUUGUUGGUGAGGUAACGGCUCACCAAGGCUUCGACGGGUAGCCGGCCUGAGAGGGCGACCGGCCACAUUGGGACUGAGAUACGGCCCAGACUCCUACGGGAGGCAGCAGUGGGGAAUAUUGCACAAUGGGCGCAAGCCUGAUGCAGCGACGCCGCGUGAGGGAUGGAGGCCUUCGGGUUGUAAACCUCUUUUGUUUGGGAGCAAGCCUUCGGGUGAGUGUACCUUUCGAAUAAGCGCCGGCUAACUACGUGCCAGCAGCCGCGGUAAUACGUAGGGCGCAAGCGUUAUCCGGAUUUAUUGGGCGUAAAGGGCUCGUAGGCGGCUCGUCGCGUCCGGUGUGAAAGUCCAUCGCUUAACGGUGGAUCUGCGCCGGGUACGGGCGGGCUGGAGUGCGGUAGGGGAGACUGGAAUUCCCGGUGUAACGGUGGAAUGUGUAGAUAUCGGAAAAGAAACACC
rnacentral:rRNA from 1 species